GUGAAUCAUCAAAUUUUUGAACGCAAAUUGCACUCUCUUCGGAGAGUAUGCCUGUUUGAGGGUCAGCCUAAAAAAAAAAUCGACAUAGUCGCUGUUUCGCGGUUACAUUCGUCGGAAAUUGUGUCAUCUUAAACCUUUUGUUUUUAAUCUGCUUAAAAUUUUCUUUACACUUCCACGCACUUUUCUAAGAUUUCCUUCUUCUCCUUUUACGUUAUCGAUCUUUAUUAGCCGUCGCCUUUGCCUCC
rnacentral:misc_RNA from 1 species